GGAAAAAUCUAUGGGACCAUUCUAUUGCAAAUUACUCAGUCGCCAGAAUUCCUUUCUAGAACAAAGUGGAAUAGAAAUGCAUAAACAGGCCUCUGGGUCACCUCACAGAAAGACUGGCGUUCACGGCAGCAUCAAGUCACUGACUUCCCUCAAAGGAGAAGCAGCAAGCUGGCGUGGGACUACGGACCCUGGGGGAAUCAGAGACACUUAGGAAAUGGCCAAUUCUAAAGGAAGAAGCAAAGAAGUGGAAGGGAAUGGUGAUUGCCAAAGCUUUAACACCAUGAGUGCCCUCCAUAUUCUGAGAAGGAAGGUAUUCAAGGAUGAACAGAUUGUGUUAAAAGGACACAGUUGCCAGCCUAGAGUGACUCCUCCUGAUCCAAAUUGGGAGCAUUCAAACACCAAUAAUAGUAACUAUAAUUCACUGGAAUCCAUUACAUAAAUAUACAUCAUUGAGUUAAUAGUAAGGCUAAGGAAAGAGACUAUAAAUCAAACAAACUCAUUGAUCACCUGUGGAGAUGACGAAUAUACAAAUUCCUUACUUUUGAAAACUGGUAAUUAAAAGAUGAGAACAAUUCAG
ensembl:lncRNA